UACAGAGGUCCCAAGCGUUGUCCGGAAUUAUUGGGCGUAAAGAGCGUGUAGGCGGUCCGGUAAGUCGGCUGUGAAAGUCCAGGGCUCAACCCUGGGAUGCCGGUCGAUACUGCCGGACUAGAGUUCGGAAGAGGCGAGUGGAAUUCCCGGUGUAGCGGUGAAAUGCGCAGAUAUCGGGAGGAACACCUAUGGCGAAGGCAGCUCGCUGGGACGUUACUGACGCUGAGACGCGAAAGCGUGGGGAGCAAACAGG
rnacentral:rRNA from 1 species